rnacentral:snRNA from 1 species
AUUGCUUCCUGGCCUUUUGGCUAAGGUCAAAUGUAGUAUCUGCUAUCACUUAAUAUGUGACAUGUCCUCUUUUCGAGGACAAUAUAUUAAACAGAUUUUUGGAGGUAGGGGACAGAAAAGGAGCUGGCUUUGUCUGCUCCACAUGUGCAUUGGUGUGCUUUUAAA